rnacentral:rRNA from 1 species
AAUCAACGCUGGCGGCGUGCCUCAGACAUGCAAGUCGAACGAUUAAAGCUCUCUUCGGAGAGUGUAUAGAGUGGCGCACGGGUGAGUAACACGUAAGUAAUCUACCCUCGAGUGGGGAAUAACGUCCGGAAACGGACGCUAAUACCGCAUAAUGCAGCGGCACCGCAAGGUGACAGUUGUUAAAGAUUUAUCGCUUGAGGAGGAGCUUGCGGCAGAUUAGCUAGUUGGUAAGGUAAUGGCUUACCAAGGCUACGAUCUGUAACCGGUCUAAGAGGACGGUCGGUCACACUGACACUGAAUAACGGGUCAGACUCCUACGGGAGGCAGCAGUCGGGAAUUUUGGGCAAUGGGCGAAAGCCUGACCCAGCAACGCCGCGUGAAGGAUGAAGUAUUUCGGUAUGUAAACUUCGAAAGAAUAGGAAGAAUAAAUGACGGUACUAUUUAUAAGGUCCGGCUAACUACGUG